rnacentral:rRNA from 1 species
UACAGAGGUCUCAAGCGUUGUUCGGAUUCAUUGGGCGUAAAGGGUGCGUAGGUGGCGGGGCAAGUCUGGUGUGAAAUCCCGGGGCUCAACCCUGGAACUGCACUGGAUACUGCUUUGCUAGAGUACUGGAGAGGGAACUGGAAUUUACGGUGUAGCAGUGAAAUGCGUAGAUAUCGUAAGGAAGACCAGUGGCGAAGGCGGGUCUCUGGACAGUUCCUGACGCUGAGGCACGAAGGUCAGGGGAGCAAACGGG